UAAUCCUUGCUAUCUGGUGCUUAGUGU
rnacentral:piRNA from 1 species